ACUUCCGGAGCUGCGGGGACGACUCUUCUGGAGGAAGCAGCGCGGGCUUGACCGGCGUCGGCCCGCCGCCUCUGCUGCCGCUUCGCCCCAAUCCGGUCCCUCUGGCCCGGCCUGACCCGGUCUGGCUUGUUCGGGCUCAGCGGCCGCGAGGCCGCAGCUCCCGAUUGAGUCUCGCUCUGUUGCCCAGGCUGGAGUGCAGUGGUGCAAUCUCUGCUCACUGCAACCUCCGUCUCCCGAGAUUAAGCAGUUCUCCUGCCUCAGCCUCCUGAGUAGCUGGGAUUACAGGUGCAUGCCACCACGCCCAGCUAAUUUUUGUAUUGUUAGUAGAGAUGGGGUUUCACGUGUUAGCCAGGAUGGUCUCGAUCUCCUGACCUCGUGAUCUGCCUGCUUCGGCCUCCCAAAGUGCUGGGAUUACAGGUGUGAGCCACUGUGCCCAGCCUAAUUUUUGUAUUUUUAGUAGAGAUGGGAUUUUGCCAUGUUGGCUAGGCUGGUCUCAAUCUCCUGGCCUCAGGUGAUCUGGCCACCUGG
rnacentral:sRNA from 1 species